rnacentral:rRNA from 1 species
AGGACGAACGCUGGCGGCGUGCUUAACACAUGCAAGUCGAACGGAAAGGCCCUUCGGGGUACUCGAGUGGCGAACGGGUGAGUAACACGUGAGCAAUCUGCCCCUAGCUCUGGGAUAGCUCCGGGAAACCGGGAUUAAUACCAGAUAUUACUACGGCCGACAUCAGCUGUGGUGGAAAGAAUUUCGGCUAGGGAUGAGCUCGCGGCCUAUCAGCUUGUUGGUGGGGUAAAGGCCCACCAAGGCGACGACGGGUAGCCGGCCUGAGAGGGCGACCGGCCACACUGGGACUGAGACACGGCCCAGACUCCUACGGGAGGCAGCAGUGGGGAAUAUUGCGCAAUGGGCGAAAGCCUGACGCAGCGACGCCGCGUGCGGGAUGGAAGGCCUUCGGGUUGUAAACCGCUUUCAGCAGGGACGAAGCGAAAGUGACGGUACCUGCAGAAGAAGCGCCGGCUAACUACGCGCCAGCAGCCGC